UCGGGGUGCGCAGGCGCGAAAACUUUACAAUGCGGGAAACCGUGAUAAGGGAACUCCGAGUGCCCGUAAAAUCGGGCUGUCCAUCUGUUUAAAUAACAGGUGAAGAAAGGGCCGGGCAAGACCGGUGCCAGCCGCCGCGGUAAUACCGGCGGCUCGAGUGGUGGCCACUAUUACUGGGCUUAAAGCGUUCGUAGCUGGUCUAUUAAGUCUCUGGGGAAAUCUACUGGCUUAACCAAUAGGCGUUUCAGGGAUACAGGCAGACUAGGGACCGGGAGAGGUGAGGGGUACUCCAGGGGUAGGAGUGAAAUCCUGUAAUCCUUGGGGGACCACCUGUGGCGAAGGCGCCUCACCAGAACGGCUCCGACAGUGAGGGACGAAAGCUGGGGGAGCAAACCGGAUUAGAUACCCGGGUAGUCCCAGCCGUAAACGAUGCGCGUUAGGUGUAUCGGUGACCACGAGUCACCGAGGUGCCGAAGAGAAAUCGUGAAACGUGCCGCCUGGGAAGUACGGUCGCAAGGCUGAAACUUAAAGGAAUUGGCGGGGGAGCAC
rnacentral:rRNA from 1 species